rnacentral:piRNA from 1 species
UGAUACUCUUUCAGAUGUCCGCCCCACGC